CACGGAGUUAGCCGGUGCUUCUUCCUCAGGUACCGUCAGUGUGGGACGCAUCCCCUUUUUCUUCCCUGAGAAAAGCCGUUUACAACCCAGAAGGCCGUCAUCCGGCACGCGGCAUGGCUGGGUCAGGCUCUCGCCCAUUGCCCAAUAUUCCCUACUGCUGCCUCCCGUAGGAGUCUGGCCCGUAUCUCAGUGCCAGUGUGGGGGAUCAGCCUCUCAGCUCCCCUAAGCAUCGUCGCCUUGGUGGGCCCUUACCCCGCCAACUAGCUAAUGCUACGCAACCCCAUCCAAAACCAAUAAAUCUUUAACUGCCCGCCGAUGCCGGCAAACAGUGUUAUGCGGUAUUAAUCCGCCUUUCGGCGGGCUAUGCCCCAGUUCUGGGUAGGUUGGUUACGCGUUACGCACCCGUGCGCCACUAGUAGCCCGAAGGCUACCCGUUCGACUUGCAUGUAUUAGGCCUGCCGCUAGCGUUCAUCCUGAGCCAGGAUCAAACUCU
rnacentral:rRNA from 1 species